rnacentral:lncRNA from 1 species
GGAAGAGAAAGAGGUUGGAGCAGAAGAGAAGAGAAGAGAAAAGAGAGGCAAAGAUUGUUUGGCAGAUACGAUGAGAGGUUAAAACGAUGAUUGUUGCGUGCUUCUUUCUCCCUUGGUACCAACACCGACCUUCCUCCUGUCAACUGUCAUGCCAACUUUACGUCACUCACGUGAUCCACCGUAUGCCAUGCCAUGCCACUCUCUUCCCUGGCUAUGUUGCUGCCUACCUAUCAUCAAUAACCCUAUUUCUAUUUAUGUGUUUUUUUCUUCUUGUAAAACGAAUAAUCCCUCUACUGUUCCAACAACUGCACCAUCUUCACCAUACCCAACCACCUCUUUUCUUCCCUUCCAAAUCUGCAACUUGCAAAUAUUCUUCAAUAGAUAAGCUGUGAUUGUAUUCAAACUCGAUUGAUUCUUCAAGAAAAAACAACGUUCCAGAAUGGAAAAUUUUAU